rnacentral:rRNA from 1 species
GACGAACGCUGGCGGCGUGCUUAACACAUGCAAGUCGAGCGAUGAAGUUCCUUCGGGAAUGGAUUAGCGGCGGACGGGUGAGUAACACGUGGGUAACCUGCCUCAUAGAGGGGAAUAGCCUUCCGAAAGGAAGAUUAAUACCGCAUAAGAUUGUAGUAUCGCAUGAUACAGCAAUUAAAGGAGCAAUCCGCUAUGAGAUGGACCCGCGUCGCAUUAGCUAGUUGGUGAGGUAACGGCUCACCAAGGCGACGAUGCGUAGCCGACCUGAGAGGGUGAUCGGCCACAUUGGGACUGAGACACGGCCCAAACUCCUACGGGAGGCAGCAGUGGGGAAUAUUGCACAAUGGGGGAAACCCUGAUGCAGCAACGCCGCGUGAGUGAUGAAGGUCUUCGGAUUGUAAAACUCUGUCUUCAGGGACGAUAAUGACGGUACCUGAGGAGGAAGCCACGGCUAACUACGUGCCAGCCGCCGCGGUAAGAC